UAGGGAAUUUUCCACAAUGGGCGAAAGCCUGAUGGAGCAACGCCGCGUGCAGGAUGAAGGCCCUCGGGUCGUAAACUGCUUUUCUGAUCGACGAUUAUGACGGUAGGUCAGGAAUAAGGGUCUGCUAACUACGUGCCAGCAGCCGCGGUCAUACGUAGGACCCAAGCGUUAUCCGGAAUUACUGGGCGUAAAGAGUUGCGUAGGUGGCAGAGUAAGUAGGUGCUGAAAGCGUGUGGCUCAACCAUACAUGACAUCAUCUAAACUGCUCAGCUAGAGAGCGAGAGAGGUCACUGGAAUUUCUAGUGUAGGAGUGAAAUCCGUAGAUAUUAGAAGGAACACCGAUGGCGUAGGCAGGUGACUGGCUCGUUUCUGACACUAAGGCACGAAAGCGUGGGGAGCGAACUGGAUUAGAUACCCCCGUAGUCC
rnacentral:rRNA from 1 species